rnacentral:rRNA from 1 species
ACUCCUACGGGAGGCAGCAGUAAGGAAUAUUGCGCAAUGGGCGAAAGCCUGACGCAGCGACGCCGCGUGGGGGAUGAAGGUCUUCGGAUUGUAAACCCCUUUCGGGAGGGAAGAUGGAAUGGGGUAACCCAUUCGGACGGUACCUCCAGAAGCAGCCACGGCUAACUUCGUGCCAGCAGCCGCGGUAAUACGAAGGUGGCAAGCGUUGUUCGGAUUUACUGGGCGUACAGGGAGCGUAGGCGGUUCGGUAAGCCCUCUGUGAAAUCUCCAGGCUUAACCUGGAACAGUCGGAGGGGACUGCUGGGCUAGAGGACGGGAGAGGAGCGCGGAAUUCCCGGUGUAGCGGUGAAAUGCGUAGAGAUCGGGAGGAAGGCCGGUGGCGAAGGCGGCGCUCUGGAACGUUUCUGACGCUGAGGCUCGAAAGCGUGGGGAGCAAACAGGAUUAGAUACCCUGGUAGUCCACGCCUUAAACUAURAAUACUAAGUGUCGGCGGUUUACCGCCGGUGCCGCAGCUAACGCAUUAAGUAUUCCGCCUGGGAAGUACGGCCGCAAGGUUGARACUCAAAGGAAUUGACGG